AUUGAACGCUGGCGGCAUGCUUUACACAUGCAAGUCGAACGGUAACAGGGAGCUUGCUCCGCUGACGAGUGGCGAACGGGUGAGUAAUGCAUCGGAACGUACCGUGUAAUGGGGGAUAACGUAGCGAAAGUUACGCUAAUACCGCAUACGCCCUGAGGGGGAAAGGGGGGGACCGCAAGGCCUCACGUUAUACGAGCGGCCGAUGUCGGAUUAGCUAGUUGGUGGGGUAAAGGCCUACCAAGGCGACGAUCCGUAGCGGGUCUGAGAGGAUGAUCCGCCACACUGGGACUGAGACACGGCCCAGACUCCUACGGGAGGCAGCAGUGGGGAAUUUUGGACAAUGGGGGCAACCCUGAUCCAGCCAUGCCGCGUGAGUGAAGAAGGCCUUCGGGUUGGUUAAAGACGUCUUUC
rnacentral:rRNA from 1 species